rnacentral:rRNA from 1 species
AAAUGAGAGUUUGAUCCUGGCUCAGGAUGAACGCUGGCGGCGUGUUUAAGGCAUGCAAGUCGAUUGUGUAACUUCGGUUAUGCAAGGCAAACGGGUGAGUAACACAUUGGUAACCUACCUCUAACACAGGGAUAACCCAGAGAAAUUUGGGAUAAUACCUGAUAGUCAUAUAGUAAUAUAAAUUAUUAUAUGUAAAGUUCCGGCGGUUAGAGAGGGGCCUAUGGCUUAUCAGCUAGUUGGUGGGGUAAAAGCCUACCAAGGCUAUGACGAGUAGCGGGUGUGAGAGCAUGACCCGCCUCACUGGGACUGAGAACUGCCCAGACUCCUACGGGAGGCUGCAGUCAAGAAUAUUCCACAAUGACCGAAAGGUUGAUGGAGCGACGCCGCGUGUAGGAAGACGCCCUUCGGGGUGUAAACUACUUUUAUCUGGGACGAAUUCGUGACGGUACCAGAUGAAUAAGCAACUGCUAACCUCGUGCCAGCAGCAGCGGUAAGACGAGGGUUGCAAGCGUUAUCCGGAUUUAUUGGGUGUAAAGGGUCCUCAGGCUGUUUGGAAAGUUUUUAGUUAAAUCUAGAGGCUCAACUUCUAGACUGCUAAAAAAACUAUCAAACUAGAGACCGGGAGAGGUCAGCGGAAUGGCCGGUGUAGUAGUAAAAUGCGUUAAUAUCGGCUAGAACACCAACAGCGAAGGCAGCUGACUAGAACGGUUCUGACGCUCAUAGGACGAAAGCGUGGGUAGCGAAUGGGAUUAGAUACCCCAGUAGUCCACGCCGUAAACGAUGGGUACUAGGCAUUGGAAGUAUCGACCAUUUCAGUGUUGUUAAUCGAAGCUAACGCCUUAAGUACCCCACCUGGGGAGUACGGUCGCAAGACUAAAACUCAAAGGAAUUGACGGGAGUCCGCACAAGCGGUGGAGCAUGUGGUUUAAUUCGACAAUAAGCGUGGAACCUUACCAGGGUUUGACAUCCCGAGAAUCCCGAUGAAAAUUGGGAGUGCCGCAAGGAGCUCGGUGACAGGUGCUGCAUGGUUGUCGUCAGCUCGUGUCGUGAGAUGUCGGGUUAAGUCCUUUAACGAGCGCAACCCCUACUUUGUGUUAAAUUGUUCACAAAGAACUGCCCCGGAUAACGGGGAGGAAGGUGGGGAUGACGUCAAAUCAGCAUGGCUCUUACACCCUGGGCAACACACGUGCUACAAUGGCAAGUACAAAGGGUUGCAAAACCGAAAGGUGAAGCUAAUCCCAUCAAAACUUGUCUCAGUUCGGAUUGAGGUCUGAAACUCGACCUCAUGAAGUUGGAAUCGCUAGUAACCGUGAAUCAGCUACGUCACGGUGAAUACGUUCUCGGACUUUGUACACACCGCCCGUCACGUCAAGAGAGUCGGUAGUACCCUAAGGCUGGCAUUUAUGUCGGACGAAGGUAAGAUCGAUGAUAGGGACGAAGUCGUAACAAGGCAUCCGUAGCGGAAGCUGUGGAUGGAUCACCUCCUUUCUA